AACAAGGUUUCCGUAGGUGAACCUGCGGAAGGAUCAUUACCGAGUUGAUUCGAGCUCCGGCUCGACUCUCCCACCCCAUGUGUACCUACCUCUGUUGCUUUGGCGGGCCGCGGUCCUCCGCACCGACCCCCGUUCGGGGGCCGGCCAGCGCCCGCCAGAGGACCACAAAACUCCAGUCAGUAAACGUCGCAGUCUGAGAAACAAGUUAAUAAACUAAAACUUUCAACAACGGAUCUCUUGGUUCUGGCAUCGAUGAAGAACGCAGCGAAAUGCGAUAAGUAAUGUGAAUUGCAGAAUUCAGUGAAUCAUCGAAUCUUUGAACGCACAUUGCGCCCCUUGGUAUUCCGAGGGGCAUGCCUGUUCGAGCGUCAUUUCAACCCUCAAGCUCUGCUUGGUAUUGGGCUCCGUCCUCCGCGGACGCGCCUCGAAGACCUCGGCGGUGGCGUCUUGCCUCAAGCGUAGUAGAAAACACCUCGCUUUGGAGCGCAUGGCGUCGCCCGCCGGACGAACCUUUGAAUUUUUCUCAAGGUUGACCUCGGAUCAGGUAGGGAUACCCGCUGAACUUAAGCAUAUCAAUAAGCGGAGGA
rnacentral:rRNA from 1 species